rnacentral:rRNA from 1 species
GUAGGGGGCUAGCGUUGUCCGGAUUUAUUGGGCGUAAAGAGCGUGUGGGCGGCCUAGUAGGUCUGCUGUGAAAACUCGAGGCUCAACCUCGAGCUGUCGGCGGAAACCACUUGGCUAGAGUCCGGAAGAGGAGAGUGGAAUUCCUGGUGUAGCGGUGAAAUGCGCAGAUAUCAGGAAGAACACCUAUGGCGAAGGCAGCUCUCUGGGACGGUACUGACGCUGAGACGCGAAAGCGUGGGGAGCGAACAGGAUUAGAUACCCUGGUAGUCCACGCUGUAAACGAUGGGUGCUAGGUGUGGGCGGUGUCGACUCCGUCCGUGCCGCAGCUAACGCAUUAAGCACCCCGCCUGGGGAGUACGGCCGCAAGGCUA